CAAUCGAACCUGGAGAUAGCUGGUUCUCCCCGAAAUAGCUUUAGGGCUAGCCUCAAGCUUAGAGAAACGGAGGUAGAGCACUGAAUGUCCUAGGGGGUAUUGCACUUACCGAAGACUAUCAAACUCCGAAUGCCGUAUUCUUAUAAUCGGGAGUCAGACGGCGGGAGAUAAGUUUCGUCGUCAAAAGGGAAACAGCCCAGAUCAACGACUAAGGUCCCAAAGUGGUGGUUAAGUGGGAAAGGAUGUGCAAUUGCACAGACAACCAGGAUGUUGGCUUAGAAGCAGCCACUCAUUUAAAGAGUGCGUAAUAGCUCACUGGUCGAGUGAUCCUGCGCCGAAAAUUUCCGGGGCUAAAACGUACUACCGAAGCUACGGCAUCAUUUAUGAUGGGUAGGGGAGCUUCGUAUGCAGGCUGAAGCAUGACCGUAAGGACAUGUGGACAGUAUACGAGUGAGAAUGUUGGCAUGAGUAGCGAGACGUGGGUGAGAAUCCCACGGGCCGUAAACCCAAGGUUUCCAGGGGAAGGUUCGUCCGCCCUGGGUUAGUCGGGACCUAAGCCGAGGCCGAAAGGCGUAGGUGAUGGACAACAGGUUGAUAUUCCUGUACCGCCAAUAAGCGUUUGAGAGAUGGAGUGACACAGUAGGAUAAGCUAACCGUACUGUUGGUUAUGUACGGCUAAGCAUUGAGGCAGUCUAAAUAGGCAAAUCCGUUUAGACAAUGCUAGGAUGUGAUGGGGAAGCCCUUCGGGGCGAAGUAGCUGAUUUCACACUGUCAAGAAAAGCUUCUAUCGAGUUUAAAGGCGCCCGUACCGUAAACCGACACAGGUGGGUGAGGAGAGUAUCCUAAGGCCAGCGAGAGAACUAUUGUUAAGGAACUCGGCAAAAUGACCCCGUAACUUAGGGAGAAGGGGUGCCUGUCUAUGACAGGCCGCAGAGAAUAGGCCCAAGCGACUGUUUACCAAAAACACAGGUUUCUGCUAAGUCGCAAGACGAUGUAUAGGAGCUGACGCCUGCCCGGUGCUGGAAGGUUAAGGGGAUCUGUUAGAGCAAUCGAAGCAGUGAACUUAAGCCCCAGUAAACGGCGGCCGUAACUAUAACGGUCCUAAGGUAGCGAAAUUCCUUGUCGGGUAAGUUCCGACCCGCACGAAAGGCGUAACGAUUUGGGCACUGUCUCAACAAUAGACUCGGUGAAAUUGUAAUCCCGGUGAAGAUGCCGGGUACCUGCGACAGGACGGAAAGACCCCAUGGAGCUUUACUGUAGCUUGACGUUGGGUCUUGGUACUACAUGUACAGGAUAGGUGGGAGACUAUGAAGCAUGGACGCCAGUCUGUGUGGAGUCAUCCUUGGGAUACCACCCUUGUAGUACUGGGAUCCUAACCAUAGGCCUUGAAUCAGGUCUUGGAACACCGUCAGGUGGGCAGUUUGACUGGGGCGGUCGCCUCCUAAAAAGUAACGGAGGCGCUCAAAGGUUCCCUCAGCACGGUCGGAAAUCGUGCGAAGAGU
rnacentral:rRNA from 1 species